rnacentral:lncRNA from 1 species
CAUUCGACGUCACGUGUUGGCUAGAAAGCAUGGAGGACGACCAAAGGAUUUGCAGCAAGAUAAAUACCCGAAUGAAAAUUAGAAGCUUCUAAGGUCCUUUUGGUCAAAGAUGAUGUGGGUAGCAAAAUAGAUGCCUAUGGCACCAAAUAUGGCAGAGGAGGCAAUGUACGCGGUGACGGACUCUGUGAACUGGACUAUCAUGCCCAUGAAGAGGGUGGGGAAGACCUGAGAGAGAAGAAAGGUGCUGUCCAGAAUGGCGAAGUCUAAUCCGACCCCACGUUUCUCGAAAUCCUCAGACUCCAGAUCAAGGCGGGCAUCAUUCUGAGGGGGGUAAUACUCUGGUUUAUCUCUAUUGUAAUUAGCGUGCCCAUUGGAAAUACCACUCUUGUGGUUGACAUCUUCAGAGCCGUUGUCUAAUGACAUAUAAACAGAAUCCCUUGUGAUGGUAAA